ACCUGUCUGAGGCAUUAGAGAGAAAGUUGGCACCAAAAUGGAGAAAGCAAUUGAAAAUAUCUUACUGUAUGCGGAGAUAUCCAUGGCGCGCCCGCGCUUCUCACUUCCCCCGCGCAGGAACCAACCAGGAAGAGCAUGCGGUUGGUCUUCAACGGCUCCAGGUUUUCCCCCGCGUACCGUCUCCUCCUUCUCCGUCCGCAACCUUUUCCCGUUCGCCCGAAUCUGCGGUCGCCUCCCUCCAACCAGAGACCUCGCUGUGCCGCUUCCUUACCUCCAUUCCUGCGAGAAAUGGCUCAUAGGGACGACACGGGAAGUGGCCCCGAUGCCGCCCCUACAGGCUCAAAAAAUUCAUAUCUUAUCGUCAUAACUGGAAAGUCUUCUUCUGAUAAUGAGUUUGCCUUCUCCCUAAAGCACAAGAAAAGCUUGAAGCUUGCUGAGGGCGAAGAAGAAAUCCAGAUACUUGUUCACUCUGAGCUACAAAAUCCAUGUGGCUUACAGACAUUUCAGACUAACUUAUACAUGAAUAAUCUUUCAACUUGCGUCUUUGGUAGAUUUCUGAUGUGGUCUCCACGGCUGCCUUCAACUCAUGAUCUUGUUUCGCAGAAUUUUUGUGAGCUUCCUUUAGGAACUGUUUGCAUCACGGAUAUCCAGUUUAAAGGAAGAGGGCGUUCUAAAAAUGUAUGGGAAUCACCACAUGGUUGCCUGUUGUUCUCAUUUACAUUGGAAAUGGACAAUGGGCACAUUCUACCUCUUCUGCAAUAUGUUGUAUCUCUUGCAAUAGUUGAGGCAAUAAGGGUUGCAUGUGAAGCAAAGGGUCUGCCGUGCCUUGAUGUGAAAAUAAAAUGGCCUAAUGACCUUUAUCUUGAUGGGCUUAAGGUUGGAGGGGUCCUAUGCACAUCAGCAUAUAGAUCAAAGAAGUUCAAUGUUAGUGCUGGCAUCGGGUUGAACUUGAAUAAUGAUAUGCCAACAACUUGCUUAAAUACAGCAUUACAGAAGUUAACAUCUGGCUCCCUACGUCUAACAAGGGAAGAAAUUCUUGCAUCCUUCUUCUCAAGAUUUGAAUCUCUGUAUGAAGCUUUUAUUAAUCAAGGAUUCCAAGCCCUUGAAAGUUUGUACUACAAAUAUUGGAUGCACAGACACAAUAGAACAUAUACAGGAAAAUGAGAUAGAUUGGGUUCAGAGAAGAGGCUUGAUGAGAUGGAGGAGACAAUAUCAUGAGACUUUGCCAGGGUAUCAGAUAUAAAGGAAUGUAUGCCUUCCAAAAGCUUGCCCCUGUCUUGUUCUAAAGAAUGCCAAUUUGUAGACAUUGAUUUUUUGCAAUGGCUAAAAUUCGUUACCUUUUUGCUAGUCAGAAAUGAUGAAAAAGAUUUGUCCAUGCAAAGGAAGAAACCAUUAUGAAAAUACACUGAAUAAUGAAUAAUUCACUUCUCAAAAAUGUACAGAAAGACAAAAAAGGAAUACACUUCAACCUCAAUAAAAGACACGCGAUAUUAUCUCAUUUACCUUUCCUCACACUUUUGAAGCUAUGGAAGACUAGCCUAGCUGUUAGCUUAUUAAAUUUUACACCGUUCAGAUAACAUAAUUUGCUUACUCUUUGUACCAUGUUUGAACUUUGCAGUGGGCAGAAAGUUGUCAUAGAGGAAAAGCAUGGCAACCCAAGUCCAGAAAAUAGUGUGGUUGCCAUUCAGGGUUUGACUUCUUCUGGUUACCUUUUGGCCAUUGAUGAUGAUAACAAGAAAUAUGAACUUCAUCCUGAUGGGAACAG